AGAUGAGGUCUGCUUGUCUGGAGUUGGAGAACUGAAUCUGUUUUCAGAAAUUGUGUCUGCUAAAGAGUUGUUAAGUGCUUUGUUAGCAGUGAAGAAAAACUAAAUAUUUGAGCAUCAUCUCAUGCCAGACACGGAUCAUGGAGCUGGAAGGCAGGGUCCGAAGGGCGGCUGCGGAGAGAGGCGCCGUGGAGCUGAAGAAGAAUGAGUUCCAGGGAGAGCUGGAGAAGCAGCGGGAGCAGCUUGACAAAAUCCAGUCCAGCCACAACUUCCAGCUGGAGAGCGUUAACAAGCUGUACCAGGACGAAAAGGCGGUUUUGGUGAAUAACAUCACCACAGGUGAGAGGCUCAUCCGAGUGCUUCAAGACCAGUUAAAGACCCUGCAGAGGAAUUACGGCAGGCUGCAGCAGGAUGUCCUCCAGUUUCAGAAGAACCAGACCAACCUGGAGAGGAAGUUCUCCUAUGACCUGAGCCAGUGCAUCAAUCAGAUGAAGGAGGUGAAGGAACAGUGUGAGGAGCGAAUAGAAGAGGUCACCAAAAAGGGGAAUGAAGCUGUAGCUUCCAGAGACCUGAGUGAAAACAACGACCAGAGACAGCAGCUCCAAGCCCUCAGCGAGCCUCAGCCCAGGCUGCAGGCAGCAGGCCUGCCACGCACAGAGGUGCCACAAGGGAAAGGAAACGUGCUCGGUAACAGCAAGUCCCAGACACCAGCCCCCAGUUCCGAAGUGGUUUUGGAUUCAAAGAGACAAGUUGAGAAAGAGGAAACCAAUGAGAUCCAGGUGGUGAAUGAGGAGGAGCCG
rnacentral:sRNA from 1 species